rnacentral:rRNA from 1 species
UUGAUCCUGGCUCAGAAUCAACGCUGGCGGCGUGCCUAACACAUGCAAGUCGAACGAGAAAGUGGAGCAAUCCAUGAGUAAAGUGGCGACCGGGUGAGUUACACGUGACUAACCUACCCUUGAGUGGGGGAUAACCUCGGGAAACCGGGUCUAAUACCGCAUAAUAUCUUCGGGAUGAGAAGCCGGAGAUCAAAGGAGCUAUUCGCUUUUGGAGGGGGUCGCGGCUGAUUAGCUAGUUGGUGGGGUAACUGCCCACCAAGGCUUUGAUCGGUAGCCGGCCUGAGAGGGCGCACGGCCACUCUGGAACUGAAACACGGUCCAGACUCCUACGGGAGGCAGCAGUGGGGAAUUUUGCGCAAUGGGGGAAACCCUGACGCAGCAACGCCGCGUGGAGGAUGAUGUCCCUUGGGACGUAAACUCCUUUCGACCGGGACGAUUAUGACGGUACCUGUGGAAGAAGCCCCGGCUAACUUCGUGCCAGCAGCCGCGGUAAUAAGGU